rnacentral:rRNA from 1 species
AGAGUUUGAUCAUGGCUCAGAUUGAACGCUGGCGGCAUGCUUUACACAUGCAAGUCGAACGGCAGCACGGGGGCAACCCUGGUGGCGAGUGGCGAACGGGUGAGUAAUGCAUCGGAACGUAUCCUUAAGUGGGGGAUAACGCAUCGAAAGAUGCGCUAAUACCGCAUAAUCUCUAAGGAGAAAAGCAGGGGAUCGCAAGACCUUGCGCUUUUGGAGCGGCCGAUGUCUGAUUAGCUAGUUGGUGAGGUAAAGGCUUACCAAGGCUUCGAUCAGUAGCUGGUCUGAGAGGACGACCAGCCACACUGGGACUGAGACACGGCCCAGACUCCUACGGGAGGCAGCAGUGGGGAAUUUUGGACAAUGGGGGGAACCCUGAUCCAGCCAUGCCGCGUGAGUGAAGAAGGCCUUCGGGUUGUAAAGCUCUUUCAGCCGGAACGAAAAGGUUACGGUUAAUACCCGUGACUAAUGACGGUACCGGAAGAAGAAGCACCGGCUAACUACGUGCCAGCAGCCGCGGUAAUACGUAGGGUGCGAGCGUUAAUCGGAAUUACUGGGCGUAAAGCGUGCGCAGGCGGUUUUGUAAGUCAGAUGUGAAAUCCCCGGGCUUAACCUGGGAACUGCGUUUGAAACUACAAGGCUAGAGUGUGGCAGAGGGGGGUGGAAUUCCACGUAGCAGUGAAAUGCGUAGAGAUGUGGAGGAACACCGAUGGCGAAGGCAGCCCCCUGGGUUAACACUGACGCUCAGGCACGAAAGCGUGGGGAGCAAACAGGAUUAGAUACCCUAGUAGUCC